rnacentral:rRNA from 1 species
GACGAACGCUGGCGGCGUGCCUAACACAUGCAAGUCGAACGGGGUAAAGACUUCGGUUUUUACUUAGUGGCGAACGGGUGAGUAACGCGUGAGAAACCUGCCUUUCAGUGGGGGACAACAGUUGGAAACGACUGCUAAUACCGCAUAAUGUUAUUUGGGGGCAUCCCUGGAUAACCAAAGAUUUAUUGCUGAAAGAUGGUCUCGCGUCUGAUUAGCUAGUUGGUGAGGUAACGGCUCACCAAGGCGACGAUCAGUAGCCGGUCUGAGAGGAUGAACGGCCACAUUGGGACUGAGAUACGGCCCAGACUCCUACGGGAGGCAGCAGUGGGGAAUAUUGGGCGAAUGGGGGAAACCCUGACCCAGCAACGCCGCGUGAAGGAAGAA